AGGACGAACGCUGGCGGCGUGCUUAACACAUGCAAGUCGAGUGGAAAGGCCCUUCGGGGUACUCGAGCGGCGAACGGGUGAGUAACACGUGAGCAACCUGCCCUUAGCUCUGGGAUAGCUCCGGGAAACCGGAAUUAAUACCGGAUACGACCUAGGCCGACAUCGGCCAUGGUGGAAAGUUUUUCGGCUAGGGAUGGACUCGCGGCCUAUCAGCUAGUUGGUGGGGUAAAGGCCUACCAAGGCGACGACGGGUAGCCGGCCUGAGAGGGCGACCGGCCACACUGGGACUGAGACACGGCCCAGACUCCUACGGGAGGCAGCAGUGGGGAAUCUUGCGCAAUGGGCGAAAGCCUGACGCAGCGACGCCGCGUGGGGGAUGAAGGCCUUCGGGUUGUAAACCCCUUUCAGCAGGGACGAAGCGAAAGUGACGGUACCUGCAGAAGAAGCGCCGGCUAACUACGCGCCAGCAGCCGC
rnacentral:rRNA from 1 species